CCUACGGGAGGCAGCAGUGGGGAAUAUUGGACAAUGGGAGCAACCCUGAUCCAGCCAUGCCGCGUGUGUGAAGAAGGCCCUCGGGUUGUAAAGCACUUUCAGUGAGGAAGAACGCCUGGUGGUUAAUACCCAUCAGGAAAGACAUCACUCACAGAAGAAGCACCGGCUAACUCCGUGCCAGCAGCCGCGGUAAUACGGAGGGUGCGAGCGUUAAUCGGAAUUACUGGGCGUAAAGCGCGCGUAGGUGGCUUGAUAAGCCGGUUGUGAAAGCCCCGGGCUCAACCUGGGAACGGCAUCCGGAACUGUCAAGCUAGAGUGCAGGAGAGGAAGGUAGAAUUCCCGGUGUAGCGGUGAAAUGCGUAGAGAUCGGGAGGAAUACCAGUGGCGAAGGCGGCCUUCUGGACUGACACUGACACUGAGGUGCGAAAGCGUGGGUAGCAAACAGGAUUAGAUACCCGAGUAGUC
rnacentral:rRNA from 1 species